rnacentral:tRNA from 1 species
GGCGACAUGGCCGAGUGGUAAGGCAGAUUACUGCAAAUCCUUUUUUCCCUAGUUCAAAUCCGGGUGUCGCGU